ACGUAUGGGGCAAGCGUUGUUCGGAAUUAUUGGGCGUAAAGGGCGUCUAGGCGGGGGAUUAAGUUAGAUGUGAAAGCUAUGGGAUCAACCCAUAAACUGCAUCUAAGACUGGAUAUCUUGAGUUCUGGAGAGGAGAGUGGAAUUCCAGGUGUAGCGGUGAAAUGCGUAGAGAUGAGGAAGAACUCCAGUGGCGUAGGCGGUUUUCAGGCCUAUGACUCAUGCUGAAGCGCGUAUGAGUGGGGAACCAACAG
rnacentral:rRNA from 1 species